AGCGAACGCUGGCGGCAGGCCUAACACAUGCAAGUCGAGCGCCCCGCAAGGGGAGCGGCAGACGGGAGAGUAACACGUGGGAACGUGCCCUUUGGUUCGGAACAACCCAGGGAAACUUGGGCUAAUACCGGAUAAGCCCUCACGGGGAAAGAUUUAUCGCCGAAGGAUCGGCCCGCGUCUGAUUAGCUAGUUGGUGGGGUAAUGGCCCACCAAGGCGACGAUCAGUAGCUGGUCUGAGAGGAUGAUCAGCCUCACUGGGACUGAGACACGGCCCAGACUCCUGCGGGAGGCAGCAGUGGGGAAUAUUGGACAAUGGGCGCAAGCCUGAUCCAGCCAUGCCGCGUGGGUGAUGAAGGCCCUAGGGUUGUAAAGCCCUUUCGGCGGGGAAGAUAAUGACGGUACCCGCAGAAGAAGCCCCGGCUAACUUCGUGCCAGCCGCCGCGGUAAAAC
rnacentral:rRNA from 1 species